GUACUGCUGAUGAGACCAAAUCAGGUCGAAACAGCUGUUUCCUAACUUUCCAGUAC
rnacentral:hammerhead_ribozyme from 1 species